AAGAACAACACUGUAAGUACAGAAAAAACAGCACAACAAACACUACAUGUUUUUAAAAUGAAAAAUGUCUAUAUAUUUUAUUGAAAAGAAGCCAUUUUAGGUUAUUGUUUAAUCCACUUAGGUAUAUUAUAUUGGAAAAUAUAUUAUACAAAUUGAAAAUUGAAAGAUACAAAAUUGGAAAACAACAAUGCUUUCCAAAGAAUAUGCAAGAUCCGUGAGGAGUAUUAUUAAAAUGAUGAAAGUAAGAUAUAAAAAUCUUGCAACAGAAGAUUGUCAGGAUGAUUGCGAGACUUACUUUCUGUCCAUUUCACCAAAUGAAACCAAAACAAACUCGGUACAUUUCGUCGAUGAUAAUACUUUUCAGGCGGUGAAAUCAAUCCAAGAAUGUUCAGUCCGUGGAUUGAGGAUAAGUAUCAUCGAUUUGAACAUUGAAUUGACUAAAGAAUGUAUUUGCAUAUGUGAUUUGUGUAGUAAAAAUAAUAUUAAAGUGUAUCUUCCACCUAUUUCCAAAAGGGACUUUGUAUUGAAAUUUUACAAUGGAACUUAUGAACAACAAAUUACAGUGCUUAAAGAUUUAUUAAGAAAAAUUAAUGGUAUUUUAGAAAAACUUGAUUACUUAGGUGUUGAUAUAAGUUUAGGAAAGGGUACUUGAUUGGAUGUACAGAUUUAUUGUAUGUAUGUAAUAAAUGUUAAUAUAUA